rnacentral:rRNA from 1 species
CGUGGGUAACCUGCCCAAGAGAUCGGGAUAACACCUGGAAACAGAUGCUAAUACCGGAUAACAACAGAUGAUGCCUAUCAACUGUUUAAAAGAUGGUUCUGCUAUCACUCUUGGAUGGACCUGCGGUGCAUUAGCUAGUUGGUAGGGUAACGGCCUACCAAGGCGAUGAUGCAUAGCCGAGUUGAGAGACUGAUCGGCCACAGUUGGGACUUAGACACGGCCCAAACUCCUACGGGAGGCAGCAGGU